ensembl:lncRNA
UGAGGGUUUCUGCUCUGCACUGCUCCCGACGGACAAAGCCCAGACCCCAGGGCAGAGCCCCAGCCCUGAGCCCAGAGUGCUGGUGCAGCCUCUCCCUACCCAACGAGAAGUGGAAGCAAUCCUUCUUGUCCUCUGGUGCUUAUACACCAGAGAUGGAGGUACCCACUGAUGAUAAAGGAAACCUCUUGGGUCCAUGAAGCACACUGUGAGAUCAUCUGCAGCGCAGAUGACAGUAACCUGCGGCAUUGUCUCGGUUCUUCCAGGGGUGGAUGUUGGGAAAAUCACAACGGCCGCUGUUGGCGAAGAGCUGCGAAAACACCACAUCCCAGUGAUUGCUGUGGUCUCCGCUGUGCUGCUGUCCGUGCUGAUGCUGGCCUGUGUUCCUAUGCUGUGGAUGUGGAAAAAAUAUCUGGCACGCAAGACAGAGCGGACAGCAGCAAGACAAGCUCAUCCUGACACUGACUGGGAGAGAGAUCAAAACAGAGAUGAAGGCAGAGCGGAGCUGGGGGAGGCUGCAAAGGAGGAUGUACUCGCCCAAGGAAAAAUCAUCUCCAGGGCAUUCUCCUGGUCCUUUGAAGCAAAAUUUGCCUACCUGUGCAGCAGAAUCUUCACAGACCCCUCCCUUCAGCCCAUGAAUCGCAGAGCGCUCCAAUUGACCCCAUCUCUUCCUUGAAUACCUGUACCUCUCAGGAUACCCCCUGAGCCAUCCAGUGCCCCUGUUACCGGUGCCAAGAAGGCUCGGGUUCAUUGAAAGGUCCCACUUUGUGAUCAAUAAAGACAUUCCAUUCAAAAGCUGCUGCUGUGACCAUUUCCAUUGAGUUAUAGUGCAUAGGGCUGGGGCCAGCACUUGGUGCAAGGGAAGCAGUCGGAGAGCUGCACGCCAGGGAGGGCCUCCUUGGUCCCAGCCUCAGCUUGCUUGUCUAACUGGGCGGUCACCCAAGCUCCCACCAGAGCAGGGAAGUGCUGGGGAGACUUGAUAUGUGAAGAGUCGUCCUUGAGCUCUUCUGGGCUACUGCCCUGAAUCAGGGCAUGCAGGGAGGGAAGGAGGCACUUGGAAGGAAGCACUGAGCGCAUCUAGGAGAACCGACACUGCAGCAGAGGCUGGCAGUACAGUGAAACUGUACGGUGAAGCUGCAACAAAUGGAACGGAACAGAG